rnacentral:pre_miRNA from 1 species
CUUCUGGAAGCUGGUUUCACAUGGUGGCUUAGAUUUUUUGAUCUUUGUAUCUAGCACCAUUUGAAAUCAGUGUUUUAGGAG